rnacentral:rRNA from 2 species
UUAUUAUAAGCUAUUAAGGGCUAAUGGUGGAUGCCUUGACUGUAAGAGGCGAAGAAGGACGUAUUAGGCUGCGAUAAGCCUCGGGGAGCUGCCAAAGAGCUUUGAUCCGAGGAUUUCCGAAUGGGGCAACCCAGCAUAUAGAGAUAUAUGUUACCCUGCGGGGAGCGAACCUGGUGAAGUGAAACAUCUCAGUAGCCAGAGGAAGAGAAAUCAAAUGAGAUUCCCAUAGUAGCGGCGAGCGAACUGGGAUUAGGACAAACCCAAUGCUUGCAUUGGGGGUUGUAGGACCAUAAUAUAAGAUUAAAGAUGAUAGAUGAAUUAGUUGGAAAGCUAAAGCAUAGAAGGUGAUACUCCUGUAAUUAAAAUCAUCAAUAACUUUAAUGGUAUCCUGAGUAGGUCGGAACACGUGAUAUUUUGACUGAAGCUGGGGGGACCACCCUCCAAUCCUAAAUACUACUUACAGAUCGAUAGUGAACAAGUACCGUGAGGGAAAGGUGAAAAGAACUGCAGCGAGCAGAGUGAAAUAGAACCUGAAACCAUUAGCUUACAAUCAUUCAGAGCCCUAUGAUUUAUCAGGGUGAUGGACUGCCUUUUGCAUAAUGAGCCUGCGAGUUGUGGUGUCUGGCAAGGUUAAGCCAAGUGCGAAGCCGUAGCGAAAGCGAGUCUUAAUAGGGCGACAUAGUCAGAUGCUGCAGACCCGAAACGAAGUGAUCUAUCCAUGAGCAGGUUGAAGCUGGUGUAAGAGCCAGUGGAGGACCGAACCCGCUGACGUUGAAAAGUCUUGGGAUGACUUGUGGAUAGGGGUGAAAGGCCAAUCAAACUUCGUGAUAGCUGGUUCUCUCCGAAAUAUAUUUAGGUAUAGCCUUGUGUUGUAGCAUAUAGGGGUAGAGCACUGAAUGGGCUAGGGCUGCUUACCGCGGUACCAAACCCUAUCAAACUAUGAAUACUAUAUGUGGAAUCACAGGAGUCAGGCGGUGGGUGAUAAAAUCCGUCGUCGAGAGGGGAACAACCCAGACUAACAGCUAAGGUCCCUAAGUUACAUCUAAGUGGAAAACGAUGUGGAGUUACUGUGACAACCAGGAGGUUGGCUUAGAAGCAGCCAUCCUUUAAAGAAAGCGUAACAGCUCACUGGUCUAGUGAUUCUGCGCGGAAAAUAUAACGGGGCUAAGAUGUACACCGAAGCUUUAGAUUCAAUUUUUAAUUGAGUGGUAGGAGAGCGUUCUAUUCAGCGUUGAAGGUAUACCGGUAAGGAGUGCUGGAGCGGAUAGAAGUGAGCAUGCAGGCAUGAGUAGCGAUAAUUAAGGUGAGAAUCCUUAACGCCGAAAACCCAAGGUUUCCUACGCGAUGCUCGUCAUCGUAGGGUUAGUCGGGUCCUAAGUCGAGACUGAAAAGUGUAGACGAUGGCAAAUUGGUUAAUAUUCCAAUACCAACAUAUAAGCGCGAUGUGGGGACGCAUAGAGUUAAUCGAGGUCACGGAUGGAAGUGUGGCUCGAAGGAUGUAGGUUGUUAAGUAGGCAAAUCCGCUUAACACUAGACCGAGAUCUUACAGGCUCUUGACACUCUUCGGAGGAGAUGGAGAAUCGAUGAUACUGUCGUGCCAAGAAAAGCCACUAAGUUUAUUAUAUGUUGCCCGUACCGUAAACCGACACAGGUGGGUGGGAUGAGUAUUCUAAGGCGCGUGGAAGAACCCUCUUUAAGGAACUCUGCAAAAUAGCACCGUAUCUUCGGUAUAAGGUGUGCCUACUUUGGUAUAUGAACUUGCUUCAAAAAGCUAAAGAGGUUGCAACAAAGAGUCCCUCCCGACUGUUUACCAAAAACACAGCACUUUGCUAACACGUAAGUGGAUGUAUAAGGUGUGACGCCUGCCCGGUGC